rnacentral:rRNA from 1 species
UACGUAGGUGGCAAGCGUUGUCCGGAUUUACUGGGCGUAAAGAGCGCGCAGGCGGUCGUGCAAGUCGCGUGUGAAAGCCCCCGGCUCAACUGGGGAGGGUCACGCGAUACUGCUCGACUCGGAGGCAGGAGAGGGAAGUGGAAUUCCCGGUGUAGUGGUGAAAUGCGUAGAUAUCGGGAGGAACACCAGUGGCGAAGGCGACUUCCUGGCCUGUUCUUGACGCUGAGGCGCGAAAGCUAGGGUAGCAAACGGG